rnacentral:rRNA from 1 species
AUUCGGGGGCAACUCUGAUGAAAGCGGCGGACUGGUGAGAAACGCGUGGGUGACCUACCUUUAGGCUGGGGAUAGCCGUUAGAAAUAGCGGGUAAUACCGAAUACGGUUGUUUGACUAUGGUUGAACAAAGAAAGGAGCUACGGCUCCGCCUGGAGAUGGGCCCGCGUCCCAUUAGCUAGUUGGGGGUGUAAAGGACCACCGAGGCGAAGAUGGGUAGCCGGCCUGAGAGGGUGAACGGCCACACUGGGACUGAGAUACGGCCCAGACUCCUACGGGAGGCAGCAGCUAAGAAUAUUCCACAAUGGACGGAAGUCUGAUGGAGCGACGCCGCGUGGAUGAGGAAGGCCGAAAGGUUGUAAAAUUCUUUUGCGGACGAAGAAUAAUCGCGGUAGGGAAUGACCGUGAGAUGACGUUAGUCUGUGAAUAAGCCCCGGCUAAUUACGUGCCAGCAGCCGCGGUAACACGUAAGGGGCGAGCGUUGUUCGGAAUUAUUGGGCGUAAAGGGCGCGUAGGCGGCCUAGUAAGUCUGAUGUGAAAACCCCGGGCUCAACCCGGGAACUGCAUUGGAAACUGCGAGGCUUGAGUCACGGAGGGGGAAUCGGAAUUCCUGGUGUAGGGGUGAAAUCUGUAGAUAUCAGGAAGAACACCGGUGGCGAAGGCGGAUUUCCAGCCGAUGACUGACGCUGAGGCGCGAAAGUGCGGGGAGCAAACAGGAUUAGAUACCCUGGUAGUCCGCACUAUAACGAUGCACACUAGUGUCGGGGCGAGCGUCUCGGUG